rnacentral:rRNA from 1 species
CGCGUAGAGGGGAUAACUACUGGAAACGGUGGCUAAUACCGCAUAAUGUCUACGGACCAAAGCAGGGGCUCUUCGGACCUUGCACUAUCGGAUGAACCCAUAUGGGAUUAGCUAGUAGGUGGGGUAAAGGCUCACCUAGGCGACGAUCUCUAGCUGGUCUGAGAGGAUGAUCAGCCACACUGGGACUGAGACACGGCCCAG